GUGGGGAAUAUUGGACAAUGGGCGAAAGCCUGAUCCAGCCAUGCCGCGUGUGUGAAGAAGGUCUUCGGAUUGUAAAGCACUUUAAGUUGGGAGGAAGGGCAGUAAGUUAAUACCUUGCUGUUUUGACGUUACCGACAGAAUAAGCACCGGCUAACUUCGUGCCAGCAGCCGCGGUAAUACGAAGGGUGCAAGCGUUAAUCGGAAUUACUGGGCGUAAAGCGAGCGUAGGUGGUUUUGUAAGUUGGAGGUGAAAUCCCCGGGCUCAACCUGGGAACUGCAUCCAAAACUGCAUGACUAGAGUACGGGAGAGGGUAGUGGAAUUUCCUGUGUAGCGGUGAAAUGCGUAGAUAUAGGAAGGAACACCAGUGGCGAAGGCGACUACCUGGACUGAUACUGACACUGAGGUGCGAAAGCGUGGGGAGCAAACAGGAUUAGAAACCCGGGUAGUCC
rnacentral:rRNA from 1 species